UUUUAGGUGGCCGAUUAAUGGCACAAAUCUUUUAAAUUUGUUAUAGUACUUACUCCUAGAGA
rnacentral:tRNA from 1 species